rnacentral:rRNA from 1 species
AACGAACGCUGGCGGCAGGCCUAACACAUGCAAGUCGAGCGCCCUUUCGGGGGAGCGGCGGACGGGUGAGUAACGCGUGGGAAUAUGCCCUUCUCUACGGAAUAGCCUCGGGAAACUGAGAGUAAUACCGUAUACGCCCUGUGGGGGAAAGAUUUAUCGGGGAAGGAUUAGCCCGCGUUGGAUUAGGUAGUUGGUUGGGUAAUGGCCUACCAAGCCGACGAUCCAUAGCUGGUUUGAGAGGAUGAUCAGCCACACUGGGACUGAGACACGGCCCAGACUCCUACGGGAGGCAGCAGUGGGGAAUCUUAGACAAUGGGGGCAACCCUGAUCUAGCCAUGCCGCGUGAGUGAUGAAGGCCUUAGGGUUGUAAAGCUCUUUCAGCUGGGAAGAUAAUGACGGUACCAGCAGAAGAAGCCCCGGCUAACUCCGUG